rnacentral:rRNA from 1 species
GAGAGUGGGUAGUCCGUACGAGCGCACCUUGUCCUUAUUUGCCAGCACGUAAUGGUGGGAACUCUAAGGAGACUGCCGGUGACAAACCGGAGGAAGGUGGGGACGACGUCAAGUCAUCAUGGCCCUUAUGACCAGGGCUACACACGUGCUACAAUGGAGCGUACAGAGGGUUGCUAAGCCGCGAGGUGGAGCCAAUCCCAGAAAACGUUUCGUAGUCCGGAUCGAAGUCUGCAACUCGACUUCGUGAAGUCGGAAUCGCUAGUAAUCGCGAAUCAGCAUGUCGCGGUGAAUACGUUCCCGGGCCUUGUACACACCGCCCGUCACACCAUGGGAGUUGGUUCUACCUUAAGGCAAGGUUUUAAACCCUUGACCACGGUAUAGUCAGCGACUGGGGUGAAGUCGUAACAAGGUAGCCGUAGGGGAACCUGCGGCUGGAUUACCUCCUUUCU